rnacentral:tRNA from 1 species
GCCCGGCUAGCUCAGUCAGUAGAGCAUGAGACUCUUAAUCUCAGGGUCGUGGGUUCNUGCCCACCGUUGGGUG